rnacentral:rRNA from 1 species
AUUGAACGCUGGCGGCAGGCCUAACACAUGCAAGUCGAACGAGUGGCGGACGGGUGAGUAAUGUCUGGGAAACUGCCCGAUGGAGGGGGAUAACUACUGGAAACGGUAGCUAAUACCGCAUACCAUCGGAUGUGCCCAGGUGGGAUUAGCUAGUGGGUGGGGUAAAGGCUCACCUAGGCGACGAUCCCUAGCUGGUCUGAGAGGAUGACCAGCCAAACUGGAACUGAGACACGGCCCAGACUCCUACGGGAGGCAGCAGUGGGGAAUAUUGCACAAUGGGCGCAAGCCUGACGCAGCCAUGCCGCGUGAAGGAAGAAGGCCUUCGGGUUGUAAAGUACUUUCGGCGGGGAGGCGUUACCUGCAGAAGAAGCACCGGCUAACUCCGUGCCAGCCGCCGCGGUAAUUC